CACCGGGGCGCACCGGGGCGCACCAAGACGCACCAAGGCGCACCAAGACGCACCAAGGCGCACCGGGGCGCACCAAGGCGCACCGUGCCGAACCGGGCCGUGCCGUGCCGCACCGUGCCGAGCCGUGCGGGAUUGGCUGGCCCGCGGCCACCUGGCUCCUCCCCAGCCCCCUGCGGCUAUAACGGGCCGGGCGGCGCCGGUCCCGGUCCCGCAGCGCCGCGCCCCGAGCCGCAGGCAUGGCCCAGCCCGGGGGGGGGGCGGGGGGGGGCGGGGGGGGGGCUGCGGACGGCGUGGGGGGGCUGGGGGUAGUGCUAUGGGGUCAUCACUGGGGACAUCACUGCGGGGUCUGGAAGCAUCGCCAUGGGGUCUUGGAGCAUCACUGGGGGGACUGGGAACAUCGCUAUGGGACUGGGGGCAGUGCUAUGGGGUCGGGGGCAUAACUGGGAGCAUCGCUACAGGGUCUGGGGACAUUGCUAUGGGGUCUGGAGGCAGUGCUAUGGGGACUGGGAGCAUUGCUGGGGGGACUGGGAGCAUGGCUAUGGGACUGGGGGCAGCGCUAUGGGGUCUGGGGACAUCACUACGAGUUCUGGGGACAUUGCUAUGGGGUCUGGAGGCAGUGCUAUGGAGACUGGGAGCAUUGCUGGGGGGACUGGGAGGAUUGCUAUGGGACUGGGAGAAUUGCUGCAGCACUGGGGGGACUGGGAAAAUUGCUAUGGGGUCUGAGGGCAGCACUACGGGGUCUGGGGACAUUGCUUGGGGGGGCUCAGAGCAGCGCUAUGGGGUCUGAGGGCAGUGCUGGGGGCAUUGCUAUGGGAUCUGGGGGCAGCUCUAUGGGGUCUGGGGACAUCGCUGUGGGAUCUGGGGGCAGCACUGUGGGGUCUGGGUGCACUGCUAUGGGUCUGGGGGCAUCGGGGCUGGCCUUGACGGGUCUCUGCACAGCACCAGCCCUGCUGCCCCCCCCCCCCCAACCCAGUGCCACCCCCCGCCCCAUUGCCAGGCUCCCCCCGGCUGGUUGUGGGGUGCCCCCUGCGUUAUGGGGUGGCACCAGCCCUGGGAUGGGGACUGCAGCCCCUGCUGCGCCCUGGGGGCUGCGCAGCCCCACCCAGGGACCCCCAGUCAGUGGGGUAGGGUGGGGGGGUACUGGGGGUCUGGGGGGGCUGUGGGGGCUGUGGGGGGGCUGUGGGGGGGGCAUCCCCAACCCGUCCCCGCUCCGCAGGGCCCCGGCGCUGGCUGCGGCCGCCGUCCUCCUGCUCCUGACCACCGCCACCGCCGAUGAGCCCGCGAGCCCCCUGGACGUGGCCCUGUCUGCGGAAGGACAGACGUCAG
rnacentral:lncRNA from 1 species